ACCCUGGACUCUCUGGCACGCA
rnacentral:miRNA from 10 species